CCUCCCUUCUUCCCCACGCCACACCCGGACUGAGUUCCGGAAAAGUCCCCGGGCCUGCCGAGUGGUCCUGCAGGCGUUCCGUCUCCCAUCUGCUUUCUUUAUUAUUCUAAUCGACUGCUGGAGACACCCUUUGUCAACUGCCGAGAGCUAUGCAAAUGACCGCGGAAACCAGACUGUGUCAUUGCAGAAAGCCAGCAGCAGGAGUUGGUUUAACCUGUUGUGGCCAGACUGGCUGAAUUAACCAUCCCUCUGUUGAACACGUGACCACUCCAAUCCUAUGACCACUGGGAAGACAUUCAUCCAACAAACAUUUUUUCAUCUCCUUUGUCCAUCCCACAGGCAAGCUUCAACUCACUCCUCCUCUGCCAUCCUGACUCCACCCCCAUCACCAUUCUGCCUCUCCCUCUUCCUCCGCACCUAGUCCGUCCUGUCCGUCUGGGUCUGUCCCAGGGCCCCACUGCUUAGCUCGGGCUCAUCAGUGCUCACCUUGAACUACUGCAGCCUCCUCCCCAUCUACCCAUAUACCCCAGCUCCAUUCCCAAUAAAAGCAGGUCUCAUCUUGC